GACGAACGCUGGCGGCGUGCUUAACACAUGCAAGUCGAACGGAAAGGCCCUGCUUGCAGGGUACUCGAGUGGCGAACGGGUGAGUAACACGUGGGUGAUCUGCCCUGCACUUCGGGAUAAGCUUGGGAAACUGGGUCUAAUACCGGAUAGGAGCCAUCUUUAGUGUGGUGGUUGGAAAGUUUUUUCGGUGUAGGAUGAGCUCGCGGCCUAUCAGCUUGUUGGUGGGGUAAUGGCCUACCAAGGCGGCGACGGGUAGCCGGCCUGAGAGGGUGUACGGCCACAUUGGGACUGAGAUACGGCCCAGACUCCUACGGGGGGCAGCAGUGGGGAAUAUUGCACAAUGGGCGCAAGCCUGAUGCAGCGACGCCGCGUGGGGGAUGAAGGCCUUCGGGUUGUAAACUCCUUUCGCUAGGGACGAAGCGUUGUUGUGACGGUACCUAGAUAAGAAGCACCGGCUAACUACGUG
rnacentral:rRNA from 1 species